GGGGAAUAUUGCGCAAUGGGGGAAACCCUGACGCAGCAACGCCGCGUGAAGGAUGAAGGUUUUCGGAUUGUAAACUUCUUUGAUUGGGGACGAAUAAAUGACGGUACCCAAAAAACAAGCCACGGCUAACUACGUGCCAGCAGCCGCGGUAAUACGUAGGUGGCGAGCGUUGUCCGGAAUUACUGGGUGUAAAGGGCGUGUAGGCGGGAAUGUAAGUCAGAUGUGAAAUACCGUAGCUUAACUACGGGGCUGCAUCUGAAACUAUGUUUCUUGAGUGUCGGAGAGGAAAGUGGAAUUCCCAGUGUAGCGGUGAAAUGCGUAGAUAUUGGGAGGAACACCAGUGGCGAAGGCGACUUUCUGGACGAUAACUGACGCUGAGGCGCGAAAGCGUGGGGAGCAAAC
rnacentral:rRNA from 1 species